rnacentral:rRNA from 1 species
UACGUAGGGUGCGAGCGUUAAUCGGAAUUACUGGGCGUAACGCGUGCGCAGGCGGUUGUGCACGACAGGUGUGAAAUCCCCGGGCUUAACCUGGGAACUGCAUUUGUGACUGCACGGCUAGAGUGCGGCAGAGGGGGAUGGAAUUCCGCGUGUAGCAGUGAAAUGCGUAGAUAUGCGGAGGAACACCGAUGGCGAAGGCAAUCCCCUGGGCCUGCACUGACGCUCAUGCACGAAAGCGUGGGGAGCAAACAGG